rnacentral:rRNA from 1 species
UACGGAGGGUGCAAGCGUUAUCCGGAUUUACUGGGGUUAAAGGGUGCGUAGGCGGGCCUUUAAGUCAGUGGUGAAAGCUCCGAGCUUAACUCGGAAACUGCCAUUGAUACUAUUGGUCUUGAAUUCGGUCGAGGUUGGCGGAAUGUGUCGUGUAGCGGUGAAAUGCUUAGAUAUGACACAGAACACCGAUUGCGAAGGCAGCUAGCUAGACCGACAUUGACGCUGAGGCACGAAAGCGUGGGGAUCAAACAGG